rnacentral:lncRNA from 1 species
CCGCGGUUCAGCUUAGCUGCUGGAAGCCGCUUCGGAGGGGCCGGGCUGCCGGAGCACUUGGCGGGCGCUCCCCGCACCCCCGCGGCUCCCGCCGGGAUCGGCUCCAGCCCCNNGCGCGGUGACGCGGCCCGGGGUCAGGGCUGAGGCGCGGCGGCACCGUGAGGCGCUGUCAGAGCCGCGCUGAGAGGGUUCGCCCAGCUCCGCACCGGGAUCCGCCGCCGCUGCCAUGGAGCCUCAUCGCUGGCUGCCGCUGGAGGCCAACCCCGACGUGAGUGCCCGGCCUGGGCGGUGGGGCGCUGCUGUGGGGGGCUGCCCGCCCGACAGGCUGCUUGCGGUGGGGUCACGAAUCAGGUAAGAAGGUUUUAUUUGAGGUAACCUUUAGUCUUUGCAGCUUUGGGCCCGUCUCCUCUCGUUUUCUUUUAGUAAAGGCUCCUUGUCCAAGGAGAGUGCCCCCUUUCUUCCCCACGCUUGUCUGCGCUCAGUCUUCUCAUGUAUCGUACGUGAACCUCACUCGUAAAGAUACCAUAUGAAGGAAAAACGAGCAGUAAAAAGAGAAUAGCUGUGGUCUGGCUAUUACUGUAAUGAAAUCUCUGAUGUUUUUCAAGGUGGGUUUUAAUUCAUUAAUUAGCGAUUAAAACAUUAAUUUGUAUAUAACGUGUGCCAGGUGUGGACCUGUUCUUGAUGGCUUUGGGCACAUGUAUGGAUCUGUUUUCAUCACUGUGUUGUAGUCUCAUUCUUCUUUGGCUGACCAUAAAAAAUAAUUUAAUUUUACCAUAUUAGCACGUUGGUGCUUAUUCAUGACAAUACGUGCAUGAUUGGUUGCUGGUUUUGUUAGCGUGGUAGAACCCACGCUAGAGAAAGGAAGCUUGUUCUAGUACACAAAACAAUGCUCCCACUAAAUAAGCUCUGGCUGAAAGGAAAUCACACAUACUCUAACCCCACAUCAUGUUCUCAGUGACAGUUUUGAGCACAGCGUUAAUGGUCAGUUGUUGAUUUCAGCAGGCCUGUUGAUAAUGUUAACGAUUGUGCUUAAGCCAAAGGCCUCUGAAACUUCCAGCAGCAAAAUUGUAUUCUUAAAACUAUAGUGUUGAAAUAUUUUGGAAACUGGGAAUUUCUGUGUAUGAAGAAUGUUUGGGUUUUUUUUGUUGUUGUGGUUACUGUAAUAUGCAAACAACAUCUGCAGGAGAGUGAAGGGUUUGUUUGCUGGGUCAUUUUGUGCUUUAUAGUUUUCUAGGGCAAAUAAUUUUACAAUUCUUACAGCAUUGCUGCUGUGGAGUGAUUUUAGAAGUCUAAAAUCCCAGUCUCCUGAGUUAAAAUUGAUAACCUUUCCUGGGAGCCCAUCUUGAACAUGUGCUAUAGUUUCUUUCUUUUUUUUUUUUUUUUAAAUUUUGAAAUCCAGAGACUAAAUUCCAGUUUGGAAGAAAAUAAGUGAAUAAAUAGCUAGUAAAAAUUUCCA